rnacentral:misc_RNA from 1 species
CCCAAGCGUCUAAUCCAGCCAUCAA